rnacentral:misc_RNA from 1 species
GAUGAAGAACGCAGCGAAAUGCGAUACGUAAUGUGAAUUGCAGAAUUCAGUGAAUCAUCGAGUCUUUGAACGCACAUUGCGCCCCCUGGUAUUCCGGGGGGCAUGCCUGUCCGAGCGUCAUUGCUGCACUCAAGCACGGCUUGUGUGUUGGGCCUCCGUCCUCCUCCCGGGGGACGGGCCCGAAAGGCAGCGGCGGCACCGCGUCCGGUCCUCGAGCGUAUGGGGCUUCGUCACCCGCUCUUGUAGGCCCGGCCGGCGCUUGCCGACACAUCAAUCUUUUUUCCAGGUUGACCUCGGAUCAGGUAGGGAUACCCGCUGAACUUAAGCAUAUCAAUAAGCGGAGGA